rnacentral:lncRNA from 7 species
ACAGAGCCUAUGUAGAAAACCAAGGCACCACAGCCCAGGAAGGCCAGUGGAGCCAGCGCUGAUGGCUUCACCUGCCUCACACACUCACCUUCGUCCCGCCACUGUGCCAAAGCCUGCCUGCCUACUGGGGGCCAGUGGUGACUCCUCACCAGACGUGACUGCCUCAGUAUAAAGUUUGUGUGUGCAGGAGCUGGAGAAGAAGCAAGACCACCUGGGGCUGACAUCACGGGGGACCGGCAGUGUACAGCAACAGGUCAGCAGCUGUAGUCAAGACAUUCCAGCCUCUGCAGACGGCCAGCUCCUCUGGAGUCACUACUGGUGGUUAUUUCUAAUCCAUCCCUGCGAGAAGAGAAGCAAAGAUCCCUGGGAAAUUGCUGAAUCAUGUGCCUAGCACUGUUCAAGCUGCAUCUAUCUGAGUAUGAAAUAUGAGCCCGGCUACGCUUAAAAAUUAUCUUAGAUCAUUUAAAAUUUGAUAGAUGUUAACAAUA